GGGGAAUUGUUCGCAAUGGGCGCAAGCCUGACGACGCAACGCCGCGUGGAGGAUGAAGGUCUUCGGAUUGUAAACUCCUGUUGAUCGGGACGAACAUCCAUCGGGAUAACACCCCGGAGGACUGACGGUACCGGUUGAGGAAGCCCCGGCUAACUCUGUGCCAGCAGCCGCGGUAAUACAGAGGGGGCAAGCGUUGUUCGGAAUUACUGGGCGUAAAGCGCACGUAGGCGGCUUUGCAAGUCGGGUGUGAAAUCCCCGGGCUCAACCUGGGAACUGCAUCCGAGACUGCUUUGCUCGAGUAUGGGAGAGGGAAGUGGAAUUUCCGGUGUAGCGGUGAAAUGCGUAGAUAUCGGAAGGAACAUCAGUGGCGAAGGCGACUUCCUGGACCAAUACUGACGCUCAGGUGCGAAAGCGUGGGGAGCAAA
rnacentral:rRNA from 1 species